AGCAGCCGCGGUAAUUCCAGCUCCAAUAGCGUAUAUUAAAGUUGUUGCAGUUAAAAAGCUCGUAGUUGGAUUUCGGGAUCAAUAUAUCGGUCGUGCCAUUGGUACGUACUGGUAUCAUUGGUUUCUCCUUUCUGACGAACCAUGAUGUCAUUAAUUUGGUGUUAUGGGAAGUUAGGACUGUUACUUUGAAAAAAUUAGAGUGUUUAAAGCAGGCUUUAGCUUGAAUACAUUAGCAUGGAAUAAUGAAAUAGGACGUUCGAACCUAUUUUGUUGGUUUCUAGGAUCAACGUAAUGAUUAAUAGGGAUAGUUGGGGGCAUUAGUAUUCAAUUGUCAGAGGUGAAAUUCUUGGAUUUAUUGAAGACUAACUACUGCGAAAGCAUUUGCCAAGGAUGUUUUCAUUAAUCAAGAACGAAAGUUAGGGGAUCGAAGACGAUCAGAUACCGUCGUAGUCUUAACCAUAAACUAUGCCGACUAGGGAUCGGAUGAUGUUAAUUUUUUUAAUGACUCAUUCGGCGCCUU
rnacentral:rRNA from 1 species